GUAGGUGGCAAGCGUUGUCCGGAAUUAUUGGGCGUAAAGCGCGCGCAGGGCGGUCCUUUAAAGUCUGAUGUGAAAGCCCACGGCUCAACCGUGGAGGGUCAUUGGAAACUGGGGGACUUGAGUACAGAAGAGGAAAGCGGAAUUCCAAGUGUAGCGGUGAAAUGCGUAGAGAUUUGGAGGAACACCAGUGGCGAAGGCGGCUUUCUGGUCUGUAACUGACGCUGAGGCGCGAAAGCGUGGGGAGCAAACAGGAUUAGAUACCCUGGUAGUCCACGCCGUAAACGAUGAGUGCUAAGUGUUAGGGGGUUUCCGCCCCUUAGUGCUGCAGCUAACGCAUUAAGCACUCCGCCUGGGGAGUACGGCCGCAAGGCUG
rnacentral:rRNA from 1 species